rnacentral:lncRNA from 1 species
CAUCUGACUAAAUUUUGCUGCUUUCACUCCUUUCUGAGUUCCACCCCUUUCUUGAGGCCUCUCAUCUUGUUUCCCAGUAAUGUUAAUGAACAAAAGGUUAUCUGCCUAGCGAGUUCCUUUUCCAAGCGUUUGAGACAAUUCGACAAGAUUAUGAGACUGCGAACUGGAGUCUUUUAUCUUUAAAAGGCAAGAGCAUCAUCUGUUUGACUGGCAUCUGGCU